AUGAGGGAGAGAGAGAAGGAAGGAGAGGAGCAUCGAUGGUGGUUCGAGCGCUGCCGCCUCCAUCCUCGCACCAUCUUCGUCACACGCAGCCGCCUCCUUCCGCACCCCUCUUCUUCGCGCACGGCAACAGAGGCAAGUCCUGUCAGACUUAUUGUUUUUCAUUCAGUUGAAGAGCUCUCCAUGCUUAAGAUCUUUUCUAGGAUAAUUGCGUCGUUAAAUAUGAAGGAUUCGCUCAUGUGCCAAAGCCAGCUCGGGGAAGCCUUCCUGGACUCCUGGUUGACCACGACAAUCACGACACGGUGA
rnacentral:rRNA from 1 species